rnacentral:rRNA from 1 species
GAUGAACGCUGGCGGCGUGCCUAAUACAUGCAAGUCGAGCGAACGGACGAGAAGCUUGCUUUUCUGAUGUUAGCGGCGGACGGGUGAGUAACACGUGGAUAACCUACCUAUAAGACUGGGAUAACUUCGGGAAACCGGAGCUAAUACCGGAUAAUAUUUUGAACCGCAUGGUUCAAAAGUGAAAGACGGUCUUGCUGUCACUUAUAGAUGGAUCCGCGCUGCAUUAGCUAGUUGGUAAGGUAACGGCUUACCAAGGCAACGAUGCAUAGCCGACCUGAGAGGGUGAUCGGCCACACUGGAACUGAGACACGGUCCAGACUCCUACGGGAGGCAGCAGUAGGGAAUCUGCCGCAAUGGGCGAAAGCCUGACGGAGCAACGCCGCGUGAGUGAUGAAGGUCUUCGGAUCGUAAAACUCUGUUAUUAGGGAAGAACAUAUGUGUAAGUAACUGUGCACAUCUUGACGGUACCUAAUCAGAAAGCCACGGCUAACUACGUG